rnacentral:rRNA from 1 species
AAACAGUAGAGCGGCGAAAGGGUGAGUAAUGCUUGGGUAACUUACCCCUCGGAUCGGAAUAGCCACUGGAAACGGUGGGUAAUGCCGAAUGGUCUCGUUGGAGCUUUGGCUUUGAUGAGUAAAAGUGGGGAUCUUCGGACCCACUACCGAGGGAGAGGCUCGAGUCCUACCAGCUUGUUGGUGAGGUAAUGGCUCACCAAGGCUAAGACGGGUAGCCGGACUGAGAGGUUGGCCGGCCACACUGGCACUGAGACACUGGCCAGACUCCUACGGGAGGCUGCAGUCGAGAAUCUUCCGCAAUGGACGAAAGUCUGACGGAGCGACGCCGCGUGGAGGAAGAAGGCCCUCGGGUUGUAAACUCCUGUCAGGGUUUAAGAAUUCUGGAUCGUUAAUAGCGGUUCAAUUGACGAAGGACCCAAAGGAAGCCACAGCUAACUUCGUGCCAGCAGCUGCGGUAAUACGAAGGUGGCGAGCGUUGUUCGGAUUCACUGGGCAUAAAGGGCGUGUAGGCGGUCUAGAAAGCGGAAUGUGAAAUCCCGGAGCUCAACUCCGGAACUGCAUUCCGAACUUCUAGACUAGAGGACAGGAGGGGGAUCUGGAACUCUAGGUGGAGCGGUGAAAUGCGUAGAUAUCUAGAGGAACGCCGGUGG